rnacentral:rRNA from 1 species
AGCGAACGCUGGCGGCAGGCCUAACACAUGCAAGUCGAACGAACCCUUCGGGCUUAGUGGCGGACGGGUGUGUAACACGUGGGACCGUCCCUUUUGGUUCUGAAUAACGCAGAGAAAUUUGCGCUCAUACCGAAUGAGCCCUUGGGGGGAAAGAUUUAUCGCCGAAAGAUCGGCCCGCGUUGGAUUAGGUAGUUGGUGUGGUAAAGGCGCACCAAGCCUACGAUCCAUAGCUGGUCUGAGAGGAUGAUCAGCCACACUGGGACUGAGACACGGCCCAGACUCCUACGGGAGGCAGCAGUGGGGAAUCUUGCGCAAUGGGCGAAAGCCUGACGCAGCCAUGCCGCGUGAAUGAUGAAGGUCUUAGGAUUGUAAAAUUCUUUUACCAGGGACGAUAAUGACGGUACCUGGAGAAAAAGCCCCGGCUAACUUCGUGCCAGCAGCCGCGGUAA